GACGAACGCUGGCGGCGUGCUUAACACAUGCAAGUCGAACGCUGAAGCUCAGCUUUUGUUGGGUGGAUGAGUGGCGAACGGGUGAGUAACACGUGAGUAACCUGCCUCCUUCUUUGGGAUAACGCCCGGAAACGGGCGCUAAUACUGGAUAUUCACUGGUCUUCGCAUGGGGGUUGGUGGAAAGGGUUUUUCUGGUGGGGGAUGGGCUCGCGGCCUAUCAGCUUGGUGGUGGGGUGAUGGCCUACCAAGGCUUUGACGGGUAGCCGGCCUGAGAGGGUGACCGGUCACAUUGGGACUGAGAUACGGCCCAGACUCCUACGGGAGGCAGCAGUGGGGAAUAUUGCACAAUGGGCGCAAGCCUGAUGCAGCGACGCCGCGUGAGGGAUGGAGGCCUUCGGGUUGUGAACCUCUUUCGCUCAUGGUCAAGCCGCAACAAUGGUUGUGGUGAGGGUAGUGGGUAAAGAAGCGCCGGCUAACUACGUG
rnacentral:rRNA from 1 species